GAGCGUUUAUUUAAAAAUUUCCAGUUUCCCCCAAAGAGCUUCCCCGUUUCCCCGCUUUGCUACAGGACUCUGAUCCGUGCUCCGUGCUGUCACCUCCUUAGGCCACUGCCACCAACUGGACCUGCGAGCCCCUUCCCCAUGCCUGGCCCGUUCUGCCAAGACAUCAUUCCUCACCCAGGCCGGAGAGCAAAUGAAGGUGAAUCAGAACAGAACUCACACCUCAGACUCACAUCCUUUUGCCACUGCAAAGAUAAGCUAAGAGAUUUUUAUUGCAUUAAUAAUUAAGGGUAUACUAAUAUCUCAAAAUACUGAAUUAUUUCACACAUACGAUUACAAUAGUCAUACAACAAACAGAGUGGGGACAGGAACCAGCACGCUGGGGGGCACAUCCGUAUUGUACAUCAAAAUCAAUGGCAAAUAUUUCUCCAAUUAUUCUUAGAAAAAUACUAGACACAUUAGAAGCUGAAAAGCUUUGCUUAAAAACGACCUGUAUAUACAGGAUAAGCUUAGACCUUCAAAAACCAGGUAAAAAUUGGCAAAGUGAAACACAU